UAUUUUAUUUUGGACGAAAAUAUGAUGCAAAUGGAGGAUAGAAGCAUUUUACCUUAGUUGCAUCAGUAAUAUGAGGACUCUUGAAAAAAAUGCGACAAGCAAAUGUGCAAACAUGACCUAUGAGAAUUGGGUUGCCUCCCAACAAGCGCUAAGUUUAACGUCUUCAGCCAGACGUAGUACAUCCUUAAUUAUCCCGAUAAAUAGGAUCCAUCAAAUCAAGGGAUUCAAUCAACUGUCCAUCCACAAGACACUCUUUGUAAGG
rnacentral:lncRNA from 1 species